rnacentral:ncRNA from 1 species
GGGGGAGUAUAGUCGCAAGGCUGAAACUUAAAGGAAUUAACGGAAGGGCACCACCAGGAGUGGAGCCUGCGGCUUAAUUGGACUCAACACGAGGAAACUUACUAGGUCCAGACAUAGUAAAGAUUGACAGACUGAGAACUCUUUCUAGAUUCUAUGGGUGGUGGUGCAUGGCCGUUCUUAGUGUGUGGAGCGAUUUGUCUGGUUAAUUCCGUUAACCAAUGAGACCUCAACCUGUUAACUUGCUAUACGGAGGUAUCCCUUCGCGGCCAGCUUCAUAGUGGGACUAUAGCCUUUUAGGCCGCGGAAGUUUGAGGCAAUAACAGGUUUGUGAUGCCCUUAGAUGUUUUGGGCCGAACGCGCGCUACACUAAUGUAUUCAUUGAGUUUAUAGCCUUGGCCGACAUGCCUGGGUAAUCUUUGAAAUUUUGUCAUGAUGGGGAUAGAUCAUUUCCAUUGUUGGUCUUCAAAGAGGAAUUCUUAGUAAGCGCGAGUCAUCAUCUCGCGUUGACUACAUCUCUACCCUUUGUACACACCUCCCGUCGCUCCUACCAAUUGAAUGAUCCAGUGAAAUGUUUGGAUCACAGCGACGUAGGCGGUUCGUUGCCUGCAAUGUCAAGAGAAGUCCAUUGAACCUUAUCAUUUAGAGGAAGGAGAAUUCAUAACAAGGUUUCCAUAGGUGAACCUACAGAAG